rnacentral:antisense_RNA from 1 species
UUUGACACGACAUUGCUCACAUUGCUUCCAGUGUAAUAUUUAAGCUUUAUGGUAAGGCUGAACAAUC